AGCGAACGCUGGCGGCAGGCCUAACACAUGCAAGUCGAGCGCCCGUAGCAAUACGGGAGCGGCAGACGGGUGAGUAACGCGUGGGAACGUGCCCUUUAGUUCGGAAUAACUCAGGGAAACUUGAGCUAAUACCGGAUACGCCCUUCGGGGGAAAGAUUUAUCGCUAAAGGAUCGGCCCGCGUAAGAUUAGCUAGUUGGUGAGGUAACGGCUCACCAAGGCGACGAUCCGUAACUGGUCUGAGAGGAUGAUCAGUCACACUGGAACUGAGACACGGUCCAGACUCCUACGGGAGGCAGCAGUGGGGAAUAUUGGGCAAUGGAGGAAACUCUGACCCAGCGACGCCGCGUGCGGGAUGAAGGCCUUCGGGUUGUAAACCGCUUUCAGCAGGGAAGAAGCGAAAGUGACGGUACCUGCAGAAGAAGCACCGGCUAACUAUGUG
rnacentral:rRNA from 1 species